AUUAGUGGGUUCACCACCUCACACCUUUAUUUUGUGAGGUGGUGAACCCACUAAU
rnacentral:miRNA from 1 species